UAGUCGUAGAGUAGAGAGGUGCUUGCACCUCUUGAGAGCGGCGGACGGGUGAGUAAUGCCUAGGAAUCUGCCUGGUAGUGGGGGAUAACGCUCGGAAACGGACGCUAAUACCGCAUACGUCCUACGGGAGAAAGCAGGGGACCUUCGGGCCUUGCGCUAUCAGAUGAGCCUAGGUCGGAUUAGCUAGUUGGUGGGGUAAUGGCUCACCAAGGCGACGAUCCGUAACUGGUCUGAGAGGAUGAUCAGUCACACUGGAACUGAGACACGGUCCAGACUCCUACGGGAGGCAGCAGUGGGGAAUAUUGGACAAUGGGCGAAAGCCUGAUCCAGCCAUGCCGCGUGUGUGAAGAAGGUCUUCGGAUUGUAAAGCACUUUAAGUUGGGAGGAAGGGCAUUAACCUAAUACGUUAGUGUUUUGACGUUACCGACAGAAUAAGCACCGGCUAACUCUGUGCCAGCAGCCGCGGUAAUACAGAGGGUGCAAGCGUUAAUCGGAAUUACUGGGCGUAAAGCGCGCGUAGGUGGUUCGUUAAGUUGGAUGUGAAAGCCCCGGGCUCAACCUGGGAACUGCAUUCAAAACUGUCGAGCUAGAGUAUGGUAGAGGGUGGGUGGAAUUUCCUGUGUAGCGGUGAAAUGCGUAGAUAUAGGAAGGAACACCAGUGGCGAAGGCGACACCUGGACUGAUACUGACCCUGAGGUGCGAAAGCGUGGGGAGCAACCGGGAUUAGAUAACCUGGUAGUCCACGGCCGUAAAACGUG
rnacentral:rRNA from 1 species